CCUAAAUCUCUGGAGGAAAAUACUAGGAC
rnacentral:piRNA from 1 species